CCUACGGUGCGCAGCAGUGAGGAAUAUUGGUCAAUGGACGCAAGUCUGAACCAGCCAUGCCGCGUGCAGGAAGACGGCUCUAUGAGUUGUAAACUGCUUUUGUACGAGGGUAAACGCAGAUACGCGUAUCUGUCUGAAGGUAUCGUACGAAUAAGGAUUGGGUAACGCCGUGCCCGGAGCCGCGGUAAAACGGAGGAUUCAAGCGUUCUCCGGGUUUAUUGGGUGUAAAGGGUGGGGUGGCAGUCGGUUAAAUUAGUGGUGAAAUCCCGGGGCUCAACUUCGGAAUUGCCUGUGAAACUGGUCGGCUAGAGAGUAGUUGCGGUAGGCGGAAUGUAUGGUGUAGCGGUGAAAUGCUUAGAGAUCAUACAGAACACCGAUUGCGAAGGCAGCAUACCAAGCUACUUCUGACGUUGAGGCACGAAAGCGUGGGGAGCAAACAGGAUUAGAUACCCCAGUAGUC
rnacentral:rRNA from 1 species